rnacentral:piRNA from 1 species
UGUCAGAGUCUCUGUGGGUCAGUCG